rnacentral:rRNA from 1 species
AGUGAACGCUGGCGGUAGGCCUAACACAUGCAAGUCGAACGGCAGCACAGUAAGAGCUUGCUCUUACGGGUGGCGAGUGGCGGACGGGUGAGGAAUACAUCGGAAUCUACUUUUUCGUGGGGGAUAACGUAGGGAAACUUACGCUAAUACCGCAUACGACCUACGGGUGAAAGCAGGGGAUCUUCGGACCUUGCGCGAUUGAAUGAGCCGAUGUCGGAUUAGCUAGUUGGCGCGGUAAAGGCCCACCAAGGCGACGAUCCGUAGCUGGUCUGAGAGGAUGAUCAGCCACACUGGAACUGAGACACGGUCCAGACUCCUACGGGAGGCAGCAGUGGGGAAUAUUGGACAAUGGGCGCAAGCCUGAUCCAGCCAUACCGCGUGGGUGAAGAAGGCCUUCGGGUUGUAAAGCCCUUUUGUUGGGAAAGAAAAGCAGCAGGUUAAUACCCCGCUGUUCUGACGGUACCCAAAGAAUAAGCACCGGCUAACUUCGUG